UACGGAGGAUGCGAGCGUUAUCCGGAUUCAUUGGGUUUAAAGGGUGCGUAGGCGGCUUAUUAAGUCAGUGGUGAAAUCCUGCGGCUCAACCGUAGAACUGCCAUUGAAACUGAUAAGCUUGAAUACAAUUGAAGUAAGCGGAAUGAGUAGUGUAGCGGUGAAAUGCAUAGAUAUUACUCAGAACACCAAUUGCGAAGGCAGCUUACUAAACUGAUAUUGACGCUGAGGCACGAAAGCGUGGGGAGCGAACAGGA
rnacentral:rRNA from 1 species